rnacentral:rRNA from 1 species
AACGAACGCUGGCGGCAUGCCUAACACAUGCAAGUCGAACGAGACCUUCGGGUCUAGUGGCGCACGGGUGCGUAACGCGUGGGAACCUGCCUUUAGGUUCGGAAUAACUCAGAGAAAUUUGAGUUAAUACCGGAUGAUGUCUUCGGACCAAAGAUUUAUCGCCUUUAGAUGGGCCCGCGUUGGAUUAGCUUGUUGGUGAG